rnacentral:rRNA from 1 species
UACGAAGGGGGCUAGCGUUGCUCGGAAUCACUGGGCGUAAAGCGCACGUAGGCGGAUUGUUAAGUCAGGGGUGAAAUCCUGGAGCUCAACUCCAGAACUGCCUUUGAUACUGGCGAUCUCGAGUCCGGGAGAGGUGAGUGGAACUGCGAGUGUAGAGGUGAAAUUCGUAGAUAUUCGCAAGAACACCGGUGGCGAAGGCGGCUCACUGGCUCGUAACUGACGCUCAUGCACGACAGCGUGGGGAUCAAACAGG